CCAGUUGCUUCACUCUUUGCAGAAAACCUACUGCAUUGUACAAUGUAAACAUUUUUCAUUAAAAAAGCUGUAAAUAAAACACAAUUUAUAGGAGUAUGUCUUUCUACUACUUUCUAAUUUCUUUGUAAUUAACAGUGAAACUAAUAAUUGCUGAGUGAAAAUUGUACACCAAUUGUACACUUACUUUUGAUUUCUAAUAUAUAAUAUCUUUUUUAUAAUACACAAUCUGUAUAUAUGUUACUCAAAAAAACUUAUUUGUACUUUAUUAUUAUUAGUAGUAGCUGUAGUAUUUACAUUAAAACAUUUCAGCUGAGCAGAAAUGGACAGCUCACAUAAAUUUUCGGCUUUUCAGGUUUAACUUUGAUUUUGGAUUUUAUUAUUAUGUAUUGCAUGAUUAAUAGCUCGUGCUUGUUCGCUCGUUCUUUUUUCCUACGCCAGUGCUUUCUUUUCGAUUGGUUGGAGCGCUAAAGAUCGGAAGUAGUUUAUUUAUGCUAAUGAAGGAGUUGGGGGUUGUAGAUAUUUACGUUCAACGGGAGACGCCCUUCAUUCACCCACAUGGUUCAAGGCAGGUCGCCUUCGCGCCACUUUUGCAAUUUUACUACGAUUAAGAAAGUCGUUUUAGCAGAAGUUUCACUUCACUUUGGAUGCGCGCCGCGUGCGUUACGUUCGAGCUCGGUCCACUUUUAAGUUUACGCACCAGUUUCGCAGAUUUGUCCAGAGCUGUGGCAGUAAACGGCAAGUGAGUGAAGAUGGUGGAUUUCACUGAAACCUCAAGAAAGAUGGGAGUAGUUUCCCGCAAGUUCACUGGAGGCUGUCCACUGGACGUUGUUGUGUUGAUGGUGUGGACGUGGUUGGAGUCAGUGUAUUGUCAAAGUGCUUACAGUGCAGGUAGUAUUAUGGAAUAUCUACUGCAGUGGAGGCACUUCUAGCAAUACACUUGGCCAUUGCUUUUUCCCUCCGCCAAACAUCCUUCACCAAGACCCCAUACUAACGGCUUUGUGCUAAGGUGCAUCUAGUGCAGAUAGUGAAGUAGACUAGCACCUACUGCCCUAAGUGCUCCUUCUGGCACGAGGGACUGUGACUUUCAUCCUUGUUUGCAAAUUAAGUCAUAGUUUUUCUUGUCUUUUGGUGCAGUUCUCUGCUAGUUUUGCAUAGUUGCACUACAAGAAAACCGGAGUUGUGCAAAUCUAUGCAAAACUGAUGGUGGCCUGCUGCUUCUCCACGUUUCCCAAAUUUCAGUUUGAAGUCUGAAAAGCGGUGCCCCCCCCCCCAACCAUUCUUUUAAAUAAAACCUGCCAUUGUGUUAGAGUUUCAGCAGUGCUAAAGUGCUUAUAGUGCAGGUAGUAUUUCUGUCAUCUACUGCAGUGUGAGCACUUGAAGUACUUCUAGCUAAAUGCAUCUGGGAUCUGAAGACCCUUGCCGAACACUCCUAGGUCUCUGGACGCUGUGUAUCCUUGCUGGACCCCAGUCAGUUUUGCUGGUUUGCAUCCAGCUUAAGACAGCGCGCUGUGCAAAUCCAUGCAAAACUGACAGUGGCAGCCCAUCCAAGAACCGCUUUUGGAGCCGUUUGGUCCCUUUCUGCACAGGUUGGGAUUAGUAGCAAUGCUGUGUGUUUGGAAGGUAUUGCACUUGUCCCGGCCUGUAGAGGAUUGUGGAGAUUGUACCCCACAAUUUAAGUUCCCUAGAAUACCCAUUCUUUUCCAUAAAUGCAGUUUUUAUAAUUUUUUUUUGUGAGCUUGAAUAUUCGGGAGUUUUAUUUUUUUUUUAUACAUUGUAUGUUUUUAAAUGAAAACAUUGUCAAUAAACGAUUAAGAUAUG